rnacentral:rRNA from 1 species
AUGAGCAAAAAAGGAGGAAUGGGUUUUAGAGAUAUGAAGGCAUUCAAUCAAGCUCUUUUAGCAAAGCAAGCGUGGAGGUUACUACAGUGCCCGGAUUCGCUUUGUGCUUGCAUACUGAAGGCUAGAUAUUUCUAGGAAGGUUCCAUCCUGAGUGCAACAUGUCGGAGUGGUGGCUCGUAUACAUUCCGGAGUAUUUUGUAUGGCCAGGACCUGUUGCUAGAGGAACUGAUAUGGAGAGUGGGCGACGACACCAGGAUAAGAAUCCACCAUGAUAGUUGGAUACCACGCAAGGGCUCCCUCCGGCGACUGGGCCAGAUGUAUGUACAAGGCAUGACACACGUGUGUGAUCUGCUCACCGAGGAAGGAUAUGCUUGGGAUCGGGCCAAGCUUGAUGUGAUGUUCACACCGGACGAUGUGCAAGAUAUACUCCAGGUUACGAUAGGUGGGAAUGGAACGGAAGACUUCCUUGCAUGGACUUUUACUAAUAAUGGGCAGUUCACGGUCAGGCUUAUCACUUGUGCAUGGAGAAGAAGAGAGCAAGAUCGGGACAGCCGGGAUCCUCUUCAUCGGUGGCGACGCACCAAGGGUGGUUGGCUCUUUGGGACGCUAGUGCACCGGGCAAAGCGAUAA